ACACAUGCAAGUCGAACGAUGAUGCCCAGCUUGCUGGGUGGAUUAGUGGCGAACGGGUGAGUAACACGUGAGUAACCUGCCCCUGACUCUGGGAUAAGCGUUGGAAACGACGUCUAAUACUGGAUAUGACUACNGGCCGCAUGGUCUGGUGGUGGAAAGAUUUUUUGGUUGGGGAUGGACUCGCGGCCUAUCAGCUUGUUGGUGAGGUAAUGGCUCACCAAGGCGACGACGGGUAGCCGGCCUGAGAGGGUGACCGGCCACACUGGGACUGAGACACGGCCCAGACUCCUACGGGAGGCAGCAGUGGGGAAUAUUGCACAAUGGGCGAAAGCCUGAUGCAGCAACGCCGCGUGAGGGAUGACGGCCUUCGGGUUGUAAACCUCUUUUAGUAGGGAAGAAGCGAAAGUGACGGUACCUGCAGAAAAAGCACCGGCUAACUACGUGCCAGCAGCCGCGGUAAUACGUAGGGUGCAAGCGUUGUCCGGAAUUAUUGGGCGUAAAGAGCUCGUAGGCGGUUUGUCGCGUCUGCUGUGAAAUCCCGAGGCUCAACCUCGGGCUUGCAGUGGGUACGGGCAGACUAGAGUGCGGUAGGGGAGAUUGGAAUUCCUGGUGUAGCGGUGGAAUGCGCAGAUAUCAGGAGGAACACCGAUGGCGAAGGCAGAUCUCUGGGCCGUAACUGACGCUGAGGAGCGAAAGCGUGGGGAGCGAACAGGAUUAGAUACCCUGGUAGUCCACGCCGUAAACGUUGGGCGCUAGAUGUAGGGACCUUUCCACGGUUUCUGUGUCGUAGCUAACGCAUUAAGCGCCCCGCCUGGGGAGUACGGCCGCAAGGCUAAAACUCAAAGGAAUUGACGGGGGCCCGCACAAGCGGCGGAGCAUGCGGAUUAAUUCGAUGCAACGCGAAGAACCUUACCAAGGCUUGACAUACACCGGUAACGGCCAGAGAUGGUCGCCCCCUUGUGGUCGGUGUACAGGUGGUGCAUGGUUGUCGUCAGCUCGUGUCGUGAGAUGUUGGGUUAAGUCCCGCAACGAGCGCAACCCUCGUUCUAUGUUGCCAGCGCGUUAUGGCGGGGACUCAUAGGAGACUGCCGGGGUCAACUCGGAGGAAGGUGGGGAUGACGUCAAAUCAUCAUGCCCCUUAUGUCUUGGGCUUCACGCAUGCUACAAUGGCCGGUACAAAGGGCUGCGAUACCGUAAGGUGGAGCGAAUCCCAAAAAGCCGGUCUCAGUUCGGAUUGAGGUCUGCAACUCGACCUCAUGAAGUCGGAGUCGCUAGUAAUCGCAGAUCAGCAACGCUGCGGUGAAUACGUUCCCGGGCCUUGUACACACCGCCCGUCAAGUCAUGAAAGUCGGUAACACCCGAAGCCGGUGGCCUAACCCUUGUGGAAGGAGCCGUCGAAGGUGGGAU
rnacentral:rRNA from 1 species